UAAUAGCCCUGAUGGCAGUGAAAAUCCCUUUUGGCUGGAAAACACACAUCAAUGCUCGCCGUACACCUCCAAAAGGAUUGCAACGUACAGCAGGACGGAAC
rnacentral:sRNA from 1 species